rnacentral:rRNA from 1 species
GUGACUCUGUGAGAAGUCCAUUGAACCUUAUCAUUUAGAGGAAGGAGAAGUCGUAACAAGGUUUCCGUAGGUGAACCUGCGGAAGGAUCAUUG